ACGUGAUCUGAGUUCAUACCGGAGCAAUCCAGGUCAGUUUCUAUCUAUAAUAGGGGCUCUCUCUAGUACGAAAGGACCGAAAAAGCACGGCCAAUAUUUCGUACAAGCCGCACCUAAUAAAACAUGACUAAAUCUCAAUUAAUAUAUAGCCCACUAAGAAGCUUUAAAAAAAAGU
rnacentral:rRNA from 1 species